rnacentral:rRNA from 1 species
GACGUAGGGCGCAAGCGUUGUCCGGAUUUAUUGGGCGUAAAGAGCUCGUAGGCGGCUUGCCACGUCUGCCGUGAAAACCAGCAGCUUAACUGUUGGCUUGCGGUUGAUACGGGUUGGCUUGAGUCCGGGAGGGGCGAGUGGAAUUCCUGGUGUAGCGGUGAAAUGCGCAGAUAUCAGGAGGAACACCAAUGGCGAAGGCAGCUCGCUGGAACGGUACUGACGCUGAGGCGCGAAAGCGUGGGGAGCGAACAGG